ensembl:piRNA 21ur-5372 ncRNA
UUCUAAUCCAAAAUUCUAAUC